AUUUUUUACGUGCAAAAUGUAUCAGGUAUUCUAUCCCAGAUGAGUCUGAUGAACAAGCUGAAGAUAAUAUGAGUCAAGUCGAACAAUCACUAGCAGGCUUGCAUAGAGGGACUAUGAGAAAUACCCCCAGUACUGCUAAGAAAGUACGAGAUACAUUCAUGAAUUACUUUAAUAACGAAGGAAAAGUUGCAUGGCAGGACAAUGUAUAAUAUUCUUAGUUUGCUUUUCUACUGAAUGGUAAUGAGUUAUCCAAAUAUUUAAAUAAAGAAAUAGUGUGAAUUAUUCAACUGAAUAUUUGUAAGCUUUCUUUUGUUUGUAAAUAAAAUAUGACAUGAUUAUAUAUACAUACCUCUUCAUUGAUUUCCUGUGUAUUAAGGCUCAUGUUUGAAACAGAUGGUUCACAUUCCACAUUUUGAUGAAAUGCAUCAGAUGAAAAUAUGAGAGUUUUGGCGUAUAAAUGGAGUCUGAACCGCUCCCCGAACUUUUAGACGCUUGCACUUUUUUAAGCUCUUUAUUGUAUGAGCUCCUCAAGUUGUUUAUUUUCUUAACAACAGUAUCUUUAUUAGCACUAAGAUCAAUUUCUUGAAGUUUAUUUACUAAUUUACCAUAUGCUGCAUUUCUCACUUCUCUGUUUGAAUAAUCCUUAGAUUUAAUGAACCACAAACAUGGCUCAUUUUGAUAAAUUUCUACGAAGUCACUCAAGAAAUCACUGGCGCAAGAGCUUGCCAUGGUGGCGACCUUCCACUGUCAGGUGCAGCCUCAGACUGAUGUCACACCAUACGAAUUAACGAUUAUAUCUGCACGAUGUUGCGAGCAAAGGACCUAAGCGAUCAUGAAUUGUUUUGUGUAAAAGACAUUAAUGAGAGGCAACAGUUGAUUGAUGUCCUCAUGAAAGACUUCGGUGAUUUCGAGUCAUCUGUUUCAACCCUGAAACCUGCACCAAGUGCAUUAAAACCAAAGAGAAUGUCAGAACCCACUAAGUGUCCUGCUAGAAGUGAGAGAAGAACUCGUUGUUUUCAGCAAUACCACUCUCCACCUUGAACAAGGUGUUGUUAUUCUUAAAAGUCACGAAGAGGUAGUGUAAGUUCGUCAGUUGCCGGUCCACCUUCUGAUUGGCAGCAGUUAGGUGACGAAGAGGAGGAGGCUCGACUAAUUUUCCUCAAAGACCAGAGAUACGACUGUUCAGUCUUGAGGGCGCAGGAAAUUAUGGCCUGAAGAGGAGAAAAGGCCAGUUUGAUCUAAAUGUUAGCAGUACAAUUAUAGCAAUGCCAGAAGACAUCACUGAGAGAGAUCUCAAAAAUAUUUCCAAGGGAAGUGGAACGAAAGUAUACGACCAGAGCGUUGGUACUACUGUACUUGUCAUCAGUGCAGAAAUGGAUGUGUCCUCCUUGCCUAGAUUGUGCAAUUGCUCAAUAUGCAGAAACAGAAAUGGUAAAAGUGCUACUGGAAUUCUCAUCAAUAUUGCAAGGACUACUUAGAGACUGCUGAAAUGAAAUACUGUGAUGGAAUUCAGAAUAUUGUGAUAUAUACUAUAUGUUGAAGUAGGUUACCUGGGUGUGUAGGAUAAUAAUAGUAUCAUUAUGUAGUGUGGAGUUUUGUGUUGUCUGAUGAAUCGUGUAGAGAAGCAAAAGGUCUUGCCAAUCAUUGUUAUUAUUUUAGUUAUUUUGUGGUGUUAAAAAAUCUCCCUUUUGCUGAUAAGCAUUCUUAUAAUUUUCAAUUUCCAGCGUUCC